rnacentral:lncRNA from 1 species
AAACCGGAACCCAAAACAAUGGGAGUGAUGUGCUUAAACCGGAACCCAAAACAAUGGUAGUGACCCGCUAAAGCAGAAACCCAAAACAAUGGGAGUGUCCUGCUAAACCAGAAACCCAAAACAAUGGGAGUGACGUGUAAAACCAGAAACCCAAAACAAUGGGAGCGUCAUGCUAAAACCAGAAACCCAAAACAAUGGGAGGGUCCUGCUACACCAGAAACCCAAAACGAUGGGAGUGACGUGAUAAAACCAGACACCCAAAACAAUGGGAGUGACGUGCUAAAACCAGAACCCAAAACAAUGUGAGUGACGUGCUAAACCAGAACCCAAAACAAUGGGAGUGACGUGCUAAAACAGGAACCCAAAACAAUGAGAGUGACGUGCUAAACCAGAAACCCAAAACAAUGGGAAUGACGUGCUAAAACCGGAACCCAAAACAAUGGUAACUAAGAGUGAUGCUAAGGCCCUACAUUUUGGUCACACUCUCAACUAAGUGAGAACUUGACUGAAAAGGAGGAUUUUUUUUUUCUAAGACAGAGUUUUGGUCUGUCCCCCAGAGUGGAGUGCAGUGGCAUGAU